UGCCAGCAGCCGCGGUAAUACGGAGGAUGCAAGCGUUAUCCGGAUUCAUUGGGUUUAAAGGGUGCGCAGGCGGGCUUGUAAGUCAGUGGUGAAGUACUGCCGCUCAACGGUAGAACUGCCAUUGAUACUGCAAGUCUUGAAUAUGGUUGAGGUAGGCGGAAUGUGUCGUGUAGCGGUGAAAUGCAUAGAUAUGACACAGAACGCCAAUUGCGAAGGCAGCUUACUAACAAUUAACUGACGCUGAGGGACGAAAGCGUGGGUAGCGAACAGGAUUAGAUA
rnacentral:rRNA from 1 species